rnacentral:rRNA from 1 species
UACGAGCCUCACAAACGUUAUUCGGAAUUACUGGGCUUAAAGGGUGCGUAGGCGGCGUAGAAAGUUGGGUGUGAAAUCCCUCGGCUCAACCGAGGAACUGCGCCCAAAACUACUAUGCUCGAGGGAGAUAGAGGAAUGCGGAACUUAGGGUGGAGCGGUGAAAUGCGUUGAUAUCCUAGGGAACACCGGUGGCGAAAGCGGCAUUCUGGAUCUCUUCUGACGCUGAUGCACGAAAGCUAGGGUAGCAAACGGG